AACGAACGCUGGCGGCGUGCUUAACACAUGCAAGUCGAGCGAUGAAGUUUCCUUCGGGAAACGGAUUAGCGGCGGACGGGUGAGUAACACGUGGGUAACCUGCCUCAUAGAGUGGAAUAGCCUUCCGAAAGGAAGAUUAAUACCGCAUAACGUUGAAAGAUGGCAUCAUCAUGCAACCAAAGGAGCAAUCCGCUAUGAGAUGGACCCGCGGCGCAUUAGCUAGUUGGUGGGGUAACGGCCUACCAAGGCGACGAUGCGUAGCCGACCUGAGAGGGUGAUCGGCCACAUUGGGACUGAGACACGGCCCAGACUCCUACGGGAGGCAGCAGUGGGGAAUAUUGCACAAUGGGGGAAACCCUGAUGCAGCAACGCCGCGUGAGUGAUGAAGGUUUUCGGAUCGUAAAGCUCUGUCUUUGGGGAAGAUAAUGACGGUACCCAAGGAGGAAGCCACGGCUAACUACGUGCCAGCAGCCGCCGUAAAAC
rnacentral:rRNA from 1 species